UACGUAGGAGGCAAGCGUUGUCCGGAAUUACUGGGUGUAAAGCGCGUGUAGGUGGUGGGCCAAGUCUGUGGUGAAAUCGCCCGGCUCAACUGGGCGGGGUCCGUGGAAACUGGUCGACUGGAGGACGGUAGAGGCGAGUGGAGUUCCCGGUGUAGUGGUGAAAUGCGCAGAUAUCAGGAGGAACACCGGUGGCGAAGGCGGGUCUCUGGGCCGUAACUGACGCUGAGGAGCGAAAGCAUGGGGAGCGAACAGG
rnacentral:rRNA from 1 species